GUGACCUUUUCCACAGGUAAAAAAUUUAUUGUUCAUUAGUGCAAACUGGUUUGAGACUACACCUUUCUGGUGCUCAGUCCAAAGCUUUCUGCUGCCAUGGCUCUGACCAUUUGCUCUGAUUCCAUCAGAUUUCAAGCCUGUAAAGCAAGAACAUGUUUUGUGAGGAAAAAAAACCCCACACUCUCUGAAGGCAGAAGAAAGAAAAUAUCUGUUUAUAACCCUUUUGUUUGGCUUUGGGUUUUUUUUUUCUUUCUUUUUAUUUUUUUUCUUGUGGAAGGAUGGUGAAAAGGUCACAGCAGAAUUACAGGAGAAAGGUGUCCAUAGAUCAGCUGUGCAAGCUGCUUUCAAAGCAACUUUUCGGGACAAAAAGAUAAAGCAUAAUCAAAGCAACAACUUUCCUUUUCUUUUACCUGAAAGGCCAUGUAAAAUUUCAGCCUUUAGAAGGAUUGAGGGAGAGGCAGCCCCUGGACCAGGCAGAGCAUCACUCAUCAGCCUGUGACUCCUCACCUAUGGGGAAGGAGAGAUGCACUUGGGAGAGUGAGUAUGUUCUUUGUUACAUUUGGAGAUUGUUUUUUUUUUAAAUUUAGACCUGUCUUUUUGUUUUUCCAGCACAAGAACAGAGCUUCUCUGGCAGCUGAAAGCCUGGGGCAAAUAAAUAUCCAUGUGCUCAGAGAAAUCUGCCUGGAGUCAUUGGCAGCUGGGAAUGAGUCAAGAAGAAGCCAGCCCUGUACAGCUUGCUGGUGAAAAUUAGUUGGAGAAACACUGUUAAAUCCAAUAAGCAGACACAUGAAACCUAAACAAGAAGCAUCUCACCACAAGAGUUAUGUGCAAAUUAAAAGACAGUGAAGAGAGGGAACUUGAGGCUCCAAGUCAAGAGGCACAGUCAGGAAUGGCUGGAUUUCCUGGAGCAGCCAGAGCCAGGAUCACUGGGCUCCUGCUGUGAGGACAGGCUUGGAACUUCCUUCAGACCAAUAUUGUCCUGCCCUGGCACUCAGCAGAGCACAGCAUGUACAACCAAACCUGCCAGGACACAUCUGAUUAUGUGUCUGGCUUUGUUCCUUUAGUGUAAAUUUCUUUAGCAGUGAGAAAGAAAGGAGCUGGGAACAGUAGUUAGAAAUAUUAAAAUGUCCAAGAGAAAACUCCUUUCCCAUAACAAGAAGCUGUUCCAACUAGGACGUGUGGGAUAAUUAAGGAUAAGAUUUUGGGUUGCGAGUCUGCAGUGAUUUAACAGGCUGCAGAAAAAGUAGCCAUGGAAGACAGUGAAAUCCCAUUGGAUUAUUGUGGAACCUUCUCCUGUCUCUCUCCUGGAUUUGGGCUCCCACAUCACAGGGGAGGGAAGGCAGCAGCUUUUCUUCAAGGAUAUCUUUCAGAUUUAGGUGCUGGAACUCAGCGGAGCUGCUGAGCCAGAGUUCCCUUCACCUGAGCACGGGCAGUGUGGAAAAGCACACAUUGCCUUUUACCUUCUUUAAACCAUUAAAGCCAUUUUUCUAAUUGAUUACAACUGUUGUAAUGUGGUAGUUUUAACACAGUGAAUAAAGAUUACAUAUGAUUAGAUAAGCA
ensembl:lncRNA